rnacentral:rRNA from 1 species
GCAUCCUCCUGAAAGAAAAGGAGCAAUCCGGUAUGAGAUGGGCCCGCAUCUGAUUAGCUAGUUGGUGAGAUAACAGCCCACCAAGGCGACGAUCAGUAGCCGACCUGAGAGGGUGAUCGGCCACAUUGGGACUGAGACACGGCCCAAACUCCUACGGGAGGCAGCAGUGGGGAAUAUUGCACAAUGGGGGAAACCCUGAUGCAGCAACGCCGCGUGAAGGAAGACGGUUUUCGGAUUGUAAACUUCUAUCAAUAGGGACGAAGAAAGUGACUGUACCUAAAUAAGAAGCCCCGGCUAACUACGUGCCAGCAGCCGCGGUAAUACGUAGGGGGCAAGCGUUAUCCGGAAUUACUGGGUGUAAAGGGUGAGUAGGCGGCAUGGCAAGUAAGAUGUGAAAGCCCGAGGCUUAACCUCGGGAUUGCAUUUUAAACUGCUAAGCUAGAGUACAGGAGAGGAAAGCGGAAUUCCUAGUGUAGCGGUGAAAUGCGUAGAUAUUAGGAAGAACACCAGUGGCGAAGGCGGCUUUCUGGACUGAAACUGACGCUGAGGCACGAAAGCGUGGGGAGCGAACAGGAUUAGAUACCCUGGUAGUCCACGCCGUAAACGAUGAGUGCUAGGUGUCGGAGGGGAACCUUCGGCGCCG